AAAUUGUUAUUUAAUUGUUUUAAAGUUCAUAUAUUAUAAAUAUUCUAAACCCGUCUUAUCAUCUAAUCCUGUUCUGUAAAAUUAAAAAU
rnacentral:sRNA from 1 species